rnacentral:misc_RNA from 1 species
AGGGGGGGGGGGUUACAGUAGAUCUUCAGGGCACUGGCCAAUAUUUUGGAUUUCUGAAAAUCAAACAAAUGAUGCAAGCAGAUCUAGGAAAGCUGGCCACAUCAUUUUUUUUUCUGUUUGUCCAGAGCCAUCAAUUAAGUAGAGUGCUGGAGAAAUCUCAGCACAUGGCAGGCAACAGGCAGCGAAGCUCAAUUAAAUUAACAUGAUUUAGCAUUGACCAGCAGUCAUUUACAAUAUAUGAUUUGGCUAGUCAUGUAUUGGAAGGAUUUCAUUAGUCAAUAAUUCCACUAAAUGUUGGAUAUCAGAAAUUGAUCUUUCGUUGCAUCAAAAUUUUUAAUUGUCUAAACUUUAAUCUUCAAGCAUCCUACAAGGAUUAUCCUCUUUGAAAAGAGUUAUCAUUUGAAGGAGAAUCAACUAAUGCAUUGCCAUGUCAUACUUAAUAUAUUCUUUACCAGUAAAGAUAAUGUGAAAAAAACAGAAUGAAACAGAAAGAGGUAAUAGGGAAAGGGAAAAUGAAAAUAUAGUUGCGUUGACAUUCCAAAAGUCACAUACAUCAUCAGAUGCAUAAAGAUAUAAUGGCAAAAACUGUCAAAAAGGAUUUAAGAUAAGAAUAUGCUAUACAAAUUAAAGAAGUCACUCCUUGCCAUAAAUUUAUAUUAAAGACUACAUACACUGCCAACAUAUUUGAGAAAACAUAAGGUUAG